GCCUCGGUAGCGCAGUAGGAAGCGCGUCAGUUUCAUAAUCUGAAGGUCUUGAGUUCGAUCCUCACCUGGGGCA
rnacentral:tRNA from 1 species